GUGAGUAGUUCAGAGUUUGAUCCUGGCUCAGGACGAACGCUGGCGGCGUGCUUAACACAUGCAAGUCGAACGGAGUUGAUUCUUCGGAAUUAACUUAGUGGCGAGCGGGUGAGUAACGCGUGAGAAACCUGCCUUUCAGUGGGGGACAACAGUUGGAAACGACUGCUAAUACCGCAUAAAGUAUUUUGACCGCAUGAUCGAAAUACCAAAGCUUAAUGUGCUGAAAGAUGGUCUCGCGUCUGAUUAGCUAGUUGGUGAGGUAACGGCUCACCAAGGCGACGAUCAGUAGCCGGUCUGAGAGGAUGAACGGCCACAUUGGGACUGAGAUACGGCCCAG
rnacentral:rRNA from 1 species